rnacentral:lncRNA from 1 species
GCCUGGGUGUGGAUCCCAACAGUGGCCACAAGAAGGAGUGCCAGGGUGUAUCCUGGCUUGGGCAGGGGCCCCAGAAGUUAAGAGUAAUCGCUUUGGAGCCAGAAGUGAUGGAUUCAAGCUCCCAGCACUGCCACCAGCUAGCUAGGAAACCUGGCGGGGGCGAGGGGGUGUCCCAUAACUGCUGGCACCUCAAUUUUCUCAGCCGUAAGAUGGGGCCAUGGACGUGUUAAUAACUACCCUUUAUUGAGAACUCCACACUCCAUGUGCGGUGCUGUCAGAGGGAGGCAUCACUCAACCCAGAGCCUAUGCUCCUAAGGACCAGUGGAGACCAGCCUUGGAGGGCAUCUGCAGCCUGAAAGGGACAGCGGAGUCCAGAGCAGGAGGCAGGGUGACAGCCGCUUCUCCCCUCCCCGCUAAGUGACCAUGCAGACAGCACUGUGCCUUCACUUCCUCACCGCCUGAGAAAAUUAAUACCCGUUCUGAAGAGUGGAAAGAAAAAUACAGAAAGAAAGAAAAAUGAACAGAAACUGAGGGAGCUGUGGAACACCAUCAACAAUACCAGCAUACAAACCACAGUAAUCCAGCUGGCAUUGCUCUGUAAAGACAAACUUUCCCUCCUCAACUGGGGAUAUUUGGCCACACUCAAAUGCUCUUCCUAGAGCAAAAGCAGGAUAAACGUUCAAAGACAUUCAUCGCCACAGAAAAUCCAGAACCAGAAGUUGAACACCAGCAGUGGGUAAGUGGGUGAGUGGGCAGACCUGAUAUUGUUGAGGGACAGGAGAUGUGUGUGGGCAUUGAGUCCACCUAAGACCAGCCAGCAUUCUUCAUCUGUUUGAUAAAUAUCUACAGCUUCAGGUGAAUUGGCAGAUGGAGUAAUGGUCAAAAUGUCAAAUAGGUCAUAAUUAGUCACUGGUUUUUCUUUCGUUUU